rnacentral:rRNA from 1 species
UAGGGAAUAUUGGACAAUGGGUGAGAGCCUGAUCCAGCCAUGCCGCGUGCAGGAAGAAGGCGUUAUGCGUUGUAAACUGCUUUUGCCAGGGGAUAAAAAGACCGUGCGCGGUUAAUUGAAGGUACCUGGUGAAUAAGCCACGGCUAACUACGUGCCAGCAGCCGCGGUAAUACGUAGGUGGCAAGCGUUGUCCGGAUUUAUUGGGUUUAAAGGGUGCGUAGGUGGCCCUGUAAGUCAGUGGUGAAAUAUCUCAGCUUAACUGAGAGGGUGCCAUUGAUACUGCAGGGCUUGAGUACAGAUGAGGUAGGCGGAAUUGACGGUGUAGCGGUGAAAUACAUAGAUAUCGUCAAGAACACCGAUAGCGAAGGCAGCUUACCAAGCUGUAACUGACACUGAGGCACGAAAGUGUGGGGAUCAAACAGGAUUAGAUACCCAUGUAGUCCCUGAGCGGGCUGGCAAGGCGCAU